rnacentral:rRNA from 1 species
UACGUAGGGUGCAAGCGUUGUCCGGAAUUAUUGGGCGUAAAGAGCUCGUAGGCGGUCUGUCGCGUCUGCUGUGAAAACUCAGGGCUUAACCCUGAGCUUGCAGUGGGUACGGGCAGACUAGAGUGCGGUAGGGGAGACUGGAAUUCCUGGUGUAGCGGUGAAAUGCGCAGAUAUCAAGUGGAACACCAGUGGCGAAGGCGAGUCUCUGGACAUUUCCUGACGCUGAGGCACGAAAGCCAGGGGAGCAAACGGG